CGAAAACUAAUUAAUAAUCCUUCUAUUUCACCACAGAAAACCGUAACUUAAAUCCGAAACGUUUUAUGAUUAUAUAAUUAAAGUGCGCCUCGUUAUGAAAUUAAUAUGGCUGCGCCCAUGUAGUGAAAAAUAUGAACCUGCCAAAACUAACACAGUCAAUACAUGGUAUAUCUUCAAUAUUUUCACAUCAAAUAUGAAAUUGAGAAACAUUUGAAAGCACCACAGAAUGUACUUGAUGACAUACAUGCACCAUGUAGGUGUACACUUGCAUCUUGACUCUGAGUGCACAAAUGCAUUCUAAUUUCAAACAAGUAAUAGCUUUUCUAAAAAGCUAGCCGUCUCUUAGCUUCAGGAUGAAAGUAGAAAGUGUUAAAAUUCAUAAAGGCUAAUACAAUUUUUCCUAAUUUACUAAUGUUUUUUUGGGAUAAUUUACCAACACUGGAUUAGAAAGGGUGAUGCCUUAACUGUUUUUUUUAAUUAAAUAUGAAAAUAUUUAUAAAAGUAUAUUUUAAACAUGGCUCUGGGAUAAUUAUUGUUUUUGCCAGUAUUUUAACUCUCUGUAUAGCAGUAUAAUUGUAGAUUUAAUAUUAAUGCAUACAUAUUACACUCGUUAAUGUCUUACUUGAAAUACUACAGUUAUGCAUUAUAAAAGCUAAAAAAAAAAAAAAAGCAUAAAUGUAAAUUUCAGUGUGUAUCUAUAUAUAUGUCUGACAUGAUGACUCACCUAUCACACACAUAAUAAGAAACAAAGUGAAAUAUAGUUUUUUUAAAUACAAUGUAUUAGUAGAAAUUGACAGUAGAGUUCUAGUUAAUCUAUAUUAAUUAAUAUUGACAACACUACAUGUAGUUUUAUUAUGGAUUUUUGUAUAAUUUCAGGUUCUGAAAAAAUCACAGGGGAUGAUAAAUUUAGACAAGAAGGAUCGACCACCAACAUGCUACACUUACUGGAACUUGAAAAACCUGCAAUUCACAAGAACAAGCCAAAGACUAGUAUUACCGUACAAAGUGGUUGAGGGUAUGGUCCCAGCUAUCCAAACCUGACAAAUUAUUGGUAACAAGCAAUCUUUACCAAAAAGGAACAUCAAGCCGACACACGCUUUGCAGACUUUGAAAGUGAUAAUUUAUAAAUUUGGUUAAGGCUAUUGAAACAACAAACUGUGAAAACGAGCA
rnacentral:lncRNA from 1 species